rfam:Sus scrofa breed Duroc isolate TJ Tabasco Contig1561_1, whole genome shotgun sequence.
AAGGAUUUAGCUUAAUAAAAGUGUUUGAUUUGUAUUCAAUUGAUGCAAAAUAAAGUCUUGCAAUCCUUA